rnacentral:lncRNA from 1 species
CCCAAAAGUAAUGGUACUGUAAAAUAAAAACCUUUUGCGUAUCAACUCGUACAGAACGAUACGGGGAACGGCCUUUCUAUAUUGCUCUAUGGGCUACUCAUAGAUAUACAUGUAUGGGCCAAAUCAUGUAUUCAAGUGUGAUCGAAGAGCAUACUGGUUACCAAAGUGGUUACAUGUAAUUAAGGUGUGGUGUCAACCAUAGGUGUUGACGAAAAAGCAACUCACCGAUUACCGAUAAAUUCGGAAAAUAAUAUUAUUCAGAGGCAAAAAUUAGUAUAAUUAAUUAAUUAAAAAUUGGCACAAUCUGAUUGAGAAAAACGAUGAUAAAAAUGUUGUUUAUCAUAAACCAGUAUUUGUAACCGCAUACAACCAUUUUGGUAACCAGUAGACACUCGGCAGUUUACUCACAGUUAGUACACCGUAUACGUGUAUUAUAGGUGUAGGGAUUCUAUAUCCAUGCAUCCAUUAUCUAUGAAGCUACUCCCAUAGGCUUUAAGAAUUGUAACUCGUAAGUGAGGCGAUGUUCCCGGAGGGGCGGUAAACUUAUGCGAUCUAUCAUUCGAGAAAUUCGUCGUAAAAUCGGUGCGGUGAAGGUGCCGUAGCUACGAAUUACGAACACACACUACUCCGUCGUAUCAAUUGCAUUUCACCACCGUAAUAUUGAUCCGAAUGUAAAUAACUACGAUAUUACACUGGGCCUCUAACAACUACUCCGAAACACAGUGGGUACCGUUUAUGACACCGGUUGUAAUGACUUUAGAUUGAAGGUCCCGGCGAAACUCUCAUAUUGUAUAUACUAAUUUUCAUCGAUUGUUAUGACGUUGAUAAUGAUUGUUGUUGAAUGACUACCGAUAUCAUUUUUUGAUUAUAUUGGAAAAAUCUGUUGCCCAUAAUGGUUGUAUUAAAAUUAUAUCGCAGGUAGGUAAUGCAGUAACCGUUGAUACUAAACAGUAAAUGAAAAUGUUUUAUGAUUUUAAUGCGAACAAAGUGCGAACUAUAUUUUUUAUUUUAUAGAAUAACAGAUCUUUUAAUGCAGUGUACAUUUAAUUUUAUAAUAGUAAAACAUUUUUUUUUUUUGUUGCAUGUAUUGAAAUCGCACAUUCAGAGAUAUUACACAUUAGUUAAUAUUAUUACGUUCAUUUUAAUGUAUUUUCAUAUACAUAAUCAAGCUUUUUAAUCUAAUUUGAUUAAUUUGGUUAUAAUGACAAUCGGUUGUUAUGAUAAAUUUUAACUAGUCCCUUGAAUGUCAAAUCGUUUCUACUGUAGUUUCAUCAAAAUUCCUGAAUUAAACCUAGCCUAUUGUUACCUUCAUAUUGAUAAUCUGUUGUAUAUUUUGCAUAAUUUAUGAAUUAUAAAAUCAAGAAAAAAAUUGUUAUUCAUUGUAACUUAUAUUCUUGUCUGGCCUAUUUUGUUUUUAAAGUCAAUACAUUCCCAGAUAAUGUAGGACGUAUCAUAUAUUUUAAUGCACACUAUGAAUUUAAUUAUCUGAACUAUUUUCAUCAUUCUAUGUAACAAAAUUAAAAUAAUGAUAGAUAGUCACUUUCAAUUAAAAACUUAAGUAUAUCAUUCUCAGUAAUAUGCUAAUAUCAGUAACAUUAUAAAAUUCUAAAUUAUUAUAUAUAAAUACAAAUUUAUUACUAAAACAUGCAUUAUAUUAACCAUAAAUUAUUGCUGUGCAAUCAGUGUUCUUAAGUAAUCUUGUACGAAAGUAGAUACCUAAGGGCGUACAUUUUCGAAAUAAACAACUAAAAUUAUUAUUUAGGUACUUUUUAAAACAAAUUUUCCAACAAUUACUUUAACUUACUUCAACAACUAUAAGAACCAUAGAUUAGAAUUUAAAUUAGAUAAAAACUUUUGUAUCCUUUAAAUUUCUUCAAUAUGUAAUAUGUAAUAUUAUGGUACCUAAGUAACUGGAAGAAUUUUUUUUCCGCAGACGCAGUUAUAUUUCAGCAAUUAGUAUGCGUCUUUCAAAGUAUUAUAAGUAAGACAUAUUUUAUCGUAAUACCGUUUUUGUUCUUCGCUAGAUAAACUUUGAGCUUAUUUUCUUAGUUUUGUAUACAUUAUGGGUUAUAAUUGUGCAGAAUAAUCAACAAAAUCAAACACAAACAAUAUCAUAAUUAUGAUGAUGAAUUAGUAAAAAGAUAAAUUUGAAUAAUCUUAUUAGACAAUGUACAAAGGUGGACUACGACUAUUAGUUAAGGACACAAAUUAAGAUAUAUAUCUUUAUCUUAAGAGGACAUUUAACCCGCAUCUACAGCCUCAGUCCAACUACAAAUAAAUAACAUGCAAAAUAAGUAAAACUAGCUUAAUUUUGAUUUCACAGUAAAAGUACCUAUUAGGAAAUUUAUAGAGGGAAUGUCAUAGGUGUUUUUUUAAAUUAUGAACGACCUAUUAAAAAAAGUUCCAAUUAUUUAAAAAACCAAAAAAAAAAAAUAUUUUUUGUAUCUAUUAUAUCGAGCUAUAUAUUAUGAAUACUACAAAAACCCUAUGAAUGAUAUUCCCUCAAAAGUAAUGUUCUCUAUAAAUUUCAUAAUGAAUAAUUUUACUCUAAAAUCAAAUUAAGCUAUUAAGCAUGAUAUUACAGUUAAACACCUUUAUUUUUUUUUGUAAUUGUUUAUUAAUUGUUAUAAAUUAUAAUUUUGUAGCAAACUAUUUAUUUUUUUUUUUGAUUUUCUAAAUUAUUUUUAUUAAUAUGGGCAAAUUCCCAAAUACUUAAGCAACUGCGAAAAAUUAAUUUCUGCUUUUGCAUGUGCCAUAAUCGGAAUAGGUAUUUAACUAAAAGAACUGUUUUAAAAAGAGCUGUUUUACAUAUUAUUACGUUGGGACAUCUGAACAUGACAUCUAUAUUUAAUGAGUUUGUUAAAUAUUUGAGAAUUCUGAGUUUAAGAAAGUUUUAGAAUUUUGAGUUUACAUUAUUGUUGUAUAAAAACUACUAAAUUAUAGAAUAUUUCCUUUAACUAAUAGUGACAUUAAUUUUUAUGUAGAAUUAUCAGAACCUGAAAAAGGAACUUCAAUCUUAGCGACUAUUUGUGUCUACAAAUAUACAGAGUAGUAGGUAAUUCUGUCAUAAAAAAAUAAAGAAAAGUGAUUACUAUACUUACAGAUUUUAUAAAGAAAAACCAGUUCUAAAGCAUUUAUUUUUAAAAGUUACCUCCACUAGACUACUCCAGAAAAAAUCAUUCUUACUCUGGUAAUAACUAAAAUAUAUUUUAAAAAAUUAUUGUGUACUGAUCUAAAAUAUGAUUUUUUUUUAUUGAAGGUGACAAUGAACCUGUAGUUUAGAAAACAAUUUUGAAAGCACAGUUAGAUUCAUCUACUGUAUGGGAAAAUCCUCCUAAUGGUGGUAAUUUUAGACAAAUAUUUUCGUGCAAAUAAAGUGGAUAAUUAAAAAUAAAUACUUUUCAGUUUAGAGGAAUGAUGCUGUAAUUAAAUUAAUGGUAUAAUUAAGAAUUAAACAUGAUUGGAAAUUUAAUGUAUCAAUGCAAGGAAAAAACUGAUGAUAUGAAAUGAAAUUCCGACAGAAAUGUGUAAUAUUGGGAUUCACAUUACAGGAAAAGAUUGUGAUGAAAAGUGGAUAUUGAAAACACAACAACGAAAAUAUCAUGACAAAACAAUACAGUCUGGAAGAGGAGCCAUUAAAUGACAAUUUUUAUCAUUAUUAAUAUAAUGGAUGUGUUUUUCAGUAAAGGUCAAACACUAUCUCCUCCUAAAGGUAUUUGGAUUUUAAAUGUAUUAAAAAGUAAUAAUUUAGUACAUAAUAUUACUUAAUAGAAGAUUAGAAAGAACUCAAAUAAGUAAUAUUUUUAUUUUGCAUUAUUUUAAUAAUAAUAAAUUGCAGUAUUUAUUAUUAUUAUAGGUAUCUAUAUUGUACAGUGUGUCUCACCUAUUCGACAAAUUUUUCUAGUGCUGUUAUGAUUAUUUUUUUUUUGUUUUCAAUUG